GAAGGUUGCCGGAUCCGAUGUUUGCUCCGGCGAUACCAAUUUCCCCCGGGGGGAUCCGUAAAACGAGAACAGGCUCUGUCUCUUUCUCGCACCUGGUUCCACCAUUGAUGUUCCAGUCUGAGCUACUGUUCCAUUUUCGAGUAAUCGUAAGGACGAGGAGAGAAGAAGAUGGUAUGUAGUCUUUCCCUGUUUGUUCCUAACUUCCUAUGUUGAAUUUGGACAUUAGGGUUGUAACCUAAGCCUGAAUUCACCUUCAUGCUCUAAUGGAAUUGAAUUCAAAGGUUUGCUGAAUUUGGGUUUAAAGCCAUUGCUAUGGUAAGGUUUAUCCCUGGUUUAUGCUCUUGUUGGUCUUCUUGUAGUUUCAAUUAUCAUACUAAGAAGACAAUUACCAUUGA